CCAAAGGCUCUUUUCAGAGCCACCCACGAAAUCUACUAAAGAGCUG
rfam:Eurypyga helias contig31702, whole genome shotgun sequence.